rnacentral:rRNA from 1 species
UACGGGGGGAGCAAGCGUUGUUCGGAUUUACUGGGCGUAAAGGGCGCGUAGGCGGCGUAACAAGUCACUUGUGAAAUCUCCGGGCUUAACUCGGAGCGGCCAAGUGAUACUGUUGUGCUAGAGUGCAGGAAGGGGCAACUGGAAUUCUCGGUGUAGCGGUGAAAUGCGCAGAUAAUCAGGAGGAACACCGGUGGCGAAGGCGGGUCUCUGGGCCGAUACUGACGCUGAGGAGCGAAAGCGUGGGGAGCGAACAGG